rnacentral:rRNA from 1 species
GGGUGAGUAACGCGUGGGACAUACCCUUUCCUGCGGAAUAGCUCCGGGAAACUGGAAUUAAUACCGCAUACGCCCUACGGGGGAAAGAUUUAUCGGGGAAGGAUUGGCCCGCGUUGGAUUAGCUAGUUGGUGGGGUAAAGGCCUACCAAGGCGACGAUCCAUAGCUGGUCUGAGAGGAUGAUCAGCCACAUUGGGACUGAGACACGGCCCAAACUCCUACGGGAGGCAGCAGUGGGGAAUAUUGGACAAUGGGCGCAAGCCUGAUCCAGCCAUGCCGCGUGAGUGAUGAAGGCCUUAGGGUUGUAAAGCUCUUUCACCGGAGAAGAUAAUGACGGUAUCCGGAGAAGAAGCCCCGGCUAACUUCGUGCCAGCAGCCGCGGUAAUACGAAGGGGGCUAGCGUUGUUCGGAAUUACUGGGCGUAAAGCGCACGUAGGCGGAUAUUUAAGUCAGGGGUGAAAUCCCAGAGCUCAACUCUGGAACUGCCUUUGAUACUGGGUAUCUUGAGUAUGGAAGAGGUAAGUGGAAUUCCGAGUGUAGAGGUGAAAUUCGUAGAUAUUCGGAGGAACACCAGUGGCGAAGGCGGCUUACUGGUCCAUUACUGACGCUGAGGUGCGAAAGCGUGGGGAGCAAACAGGAUU